AGGUGGUUUGGAAGAGUUGGUGUUGGGAGUGAGGUUGGGAAUCUAUUGGCAAGGAAGACAAUGAGUGCCUUGCCACUGUCAUGUGAAAAUGAAGAAAAAGGAUUACAGAACAAACUUUUGGCUUGCCUGCAAUCUUUCAGUUCAGGAAACUACUCUCUGUAAGGUAUCAGCAUCAUAUUUGUAUCAUGAAAAGAAUUUGAACAUUUCAUCAGUUUGAACAAUCUGAUUGCAAACUGUUCCAAAGACGCUAAGAUAUUGGUCUGACUGGAGUGAAAAUACCCGUUUCAUGCAGACCUAAUGUCUGGAUUCAUCCUCUGAAGAUCUUACAGGGAUAAAGAUGAUAUCUUAUUUUCCCGGGAAAUUUGGAAAAGAAAAUAGAAAAAAUCAAGAGAACCAUAACCUGCCAAGAAUUGAUUUCAAAAACUUGGAAAGACUUGUAUGGUCUGAUGCUGAGUGAAGUGAGCAGAACCAGGAGAAUGUU